UACGGGGGGAGCAAGCGUUGUCCGGAUUUACUGGGCGUAAAGAGCGCGCAGGCGGUCGUUCAAGUCGAGUGUGAAAGCCCCCGGCUCAACUGGGGAGGGUCACUCGAUACUGAUCGACUUGAAGGCAGGAGAGGGAAGCGGAAUUCCCGGUGUAGUGGUGAAAUGCGUAGAUAUCGGGAGGAACACCAGUGGCGAAGGCGGCUUCCUGGCCUGUUCUUGACGCUGAGGCGCGAAAGCUAGGGGAGCAAACGGG
rnacentral:rRNA from 1 species